AAGUUCCCUCUUCCCGGCAAGAUGGCGAGGAAUUUAGUGUGCGGUCGCUGGCAGCUUCUGCGACUCCUACGACCCCAGCGUUCGGUAAGGUUCCGUCCAAAGCGCGGGGAUGCUGCCUUGUCCUUGUCACCUGAGCUGAGGUCACGAGCAGAUGCUGACCUGGUCACUGCGACCUGCGAGUCAUGACCUCCGGUCGCGUGAGGGCACCACCGGGUUACGUCCCGGGGUUGGUGGCCUGGUUUCUCUGUAGCUGUUUGGAAACUGCCUGCGACCCUGAGCCGUGACCUCUGGGCCCCGUCCCCGGGCUUCGGUAACAGGAUGCGGGAGACCCUAACCGGAGCUGCACCCUGCACGCUCCAGUGCAUGGCUUCGGGGCCUGUAGUCUGUGCGAGCAGAGUUGCAGCGCCCCACUGCUGCAACCGCAGGCUGUCUGCGGGAGAGGCGGGUCGGCUGGGACUCAAGGCCUUCCCUUCCUUUCACAUGGUCAGUACCAUAGCGUCGCAGUGUCCCUGAGACCGCUGGCCGCCGAGCUCCUCGCAGCCCGCCGGGGUAACGGGCGGCCACCCUGUGCUCUUCUCGCCGUCUUCACUCCUCGCUGCAUCAGUACAUCUGCCACCCUCUUUGCAGAAGCCCAGGUAAGAGGUUCCCGCUGAGGAAAGGAGCACGACUUCUUGGCCCCUUUCUUUUGGUUCUGUGUUGUUUUGUUUGUUUUGUUUUGCGGGAGACAGUGAAUGUGUAGCAGAGUUCUCACACUCCUCCUAAGUUCCUCCUAAUAUUAACCUGUUUGGAGUAGAAGUAGAUUCUCAUCUCAGGCAACUCAGUGAGGAAAUGCCUAAAAGUGCUGAGAAAUUUGUAGGGCAGGCAAAAUGACCCUGCUGUACAAAAGCUCUUGCUAUUGCAACCCUGGUAAACCGAGUGCCAACCCUGGAACCCAAGUAAAGGUGGAGCAGGUUGUGGCACAAUCCUAGUAACCCCAGCACUUGGGAGGCAGAGAUGGAUAGAUCUCUGAAUUCAAAACCAGCCUGGUCAACAUAGAGCUGUGUAGUGUGACCUUGUCUC
rnacentral:lncRNA from 1 species